rnacentral:tRNA from 1 species
AAGGAAUUAGCUUAAUUGGUAGAGCGAUCGUUUUACACACGGUCGGUUAAGUGUUCGACCCACUUAUUCCUUA